UACGUAGGUCGCAAGCGUUGUCCGGAUUUACUGGGCGUAAAGAGCGCGCAGGCGGCUGGUCAAGUCCGAUGUGAAAUCUCCCGGCUCAACUGGGAACUGCAUUGGUGACUGGCAGGCUUUGAGUGUGGCAGAGGGAGGUAGAAUUCCACGUGUAGCAGUGAAAUGCGUAGAGAUGUGGAGGAAUACCGAUGGCGAAGGCAGCCUCCUGGGCCAACACUGACGCUCAUGCACGAAAGCGUGGGGAGCAAACAGG
rnacentral:rRNA from 1 species